rnacentral:tRNA from 2 species
GCAGCGAUGGCCGAGUGGUUAAGGCGCUAGGCUGCUAACUUAGUGGGAUUUCCCGCGGGAGUUCGAACCUCCCUCGCUGCG